CACUCUCCCGCUUCCUCUUCUUUCAGAAUCCGAGUCUCUCUCUCUCUCUCUCUCUCUCUCUCCGUUUCAAUUGAGAGGAGUCUAGAGUUAAGUUUCGAGGUUUUUGGGUAAAGGUGCUUUUUGUGUAUCAAAAUUGUAGAAUUAGGGUUUAUUUUCAAUUUGCUUUUCUCAAUUUCUUUCUAAAUUCUAAUGUUACCGGUCAGAGCUAAAAUGUCGCUUCAUUCUUGAAGAUUUUGGGGCCAAAUAUCAGUAAAAGGUCGGAGUAAAAAUUUGGGCUGAUUAUGCUUCCAUGAUCGAUCAGGAGAAAAUCAAACCUAAAUAUGUGGCUUGAUUAUGAUUCUAAAUUUGGGAGGCAACGAAUUAUGGGUUUUUUUUCUCUAGUUCUCCCUUCUCGGCUGUUCAAAUUUGGAUCUCAGACCAACUAUGAGAUCGGAGCUAGGGUUUCGUGAUCCUGUCUCUUCGCAAGGAAGCUUGGACGUGACAUGUGGGCUUCUCUUACGAACGUAACUCUACUGUCUAGGCUAAUAUAU